rnacentral:rRNA from 1 species
AGAGUUUGAUCCUGGCUCAGGUUGAACGCUGGCGGCAGGCCUAACACAUGCAAGUCGAGCGGUAGAGAGAAGCUUGCUUCUCUUGAGAGCGGCGGACGGGUGAGUAAUACCUAGGAAUCUGCCUGAUAGUGGGGGAUAACGUUCGGAAACGGACGCUAAUACCGCAUACGUCCUACGGGAGAAAGCAGGGGACCUUCGGGCCUUGCGCUAUCAGAUGAGCCUAGGUCGGAUUAGCUAGUUGGUGAGGUAAUGGCUCACCAAGGCUACGAUCCGUAACUGGUCUGAGAGGAUGAUCAGUCACACUGGAACUGAGACACGGUCCAGACUCCUACGGGAGGCAGCAGUGGGGAAUAUUGGACAAUGGGCGAAAGCCUGAUCCAGCCAUGCCGCGUGUGUGAAGAAGGUCUUCGGAUUGUAAAGCACUUUAAGUUGGGAGGAAGGGCAUUAACCUAAUACGUUAGUGUUUUGACGUUACCGACAGAAUAAGCACCGGCUAACUCUGUGCCAGCAGCCGCGGUAAUACAGAGGGUGCAAGCGUUAAUCGGAAUUACUGGGCGUAAAGCGCGCGUAGGUGGUUUGUUAAGUUGAAUGUGAAAUCCCCGGGCUCAACCUGGGAACUGCAUCCAAAACUGGCAAGCUAGAGUAUGGUAGAGGGUAGUGGAAUUUCCUGUGUAGCGGUGAAAUGCGUAGAUAUAGGAAGGAACACCAGUGGCGAAGGCGACUACCUGGACUGAUACUGACACUGAGGUGCGAAAGCGUGGGGAGCAAACAGGAUUAGAUACCCUGGUAGUCCACGCCGUAAACGAUGUCAACUAGCCGUUGGGAGUCUUGAACUCUUAGUGGCGCAGCUAACGCAUUAAGUUGACCGCCUGGGGAGUACGGCCGCAAGGUUAAAACUCAAAUGAAUUGACGGGGGCCCGCACAAGCGGUGGAGCAUGUGGUUUAAUUCGAAGCAACGCGAAGAACCUUACCAGGCCUUGACAUCCAAUGAACUUUCUAGAGAUAGAUUGGUGCCUUCGGGAACAUUGAGACAGGUGGUGCAUGGUUGUCGUCAGCUCGUGUCGUGAGAUGUUGGGUUAAGUCCCGCAACGAGCGCAACCCUUACUGUUAGUUGCUACGCAAGAGCACUCUGGCAGGACUGCCGUUGACAAAACGGAGGAAGGUGGGGACGACGUCAAAUCAUCAUGCCCCUUAUAUCUUGGGCUACACACGUACUACAAUGGCGCAGAACAAAGGGCAGCAACCCCGCGAGGGCAAGCGAAUCCCAGAAAAUGCGUCCCAGUUCGGACUGCAGGCCGCAACUCGCCUGCACGAAGUUGGAAUUGCUAGUAAUCGCGAAUCAGCAUGUCACGGUGAAUACGUUCCCGGGCUUUGCACACACCGCCCGUCA